rnacentral:rRNA from 1 species
UACGAAGGGAGCUAGCGUUGUUCGGAAUCACUGGGCGUAAAGCGCACGUAGGCGGAUUUGUCAGUCAGGGGUGAAAUCCCGGGGCUUAACCUGGGAACUGCGCUUGUAACUGAGAGGCUAGAGUGUGGCAGAGGGGGGUGGAAUUCCACGUGUAGCAGUGAAAUGCGUAGAUAUGUGGAGGAACACCGAUGGCGAAGGCAGCCCCCUGGGUCAAGAUUGACGCUCAUGCACGAAAGCGUGGGGAGCAAACAGG